rnacentral:rRNA from 1 species
CUGUCGUCAGCUCGUGUCGUGAGAUGUUCGGUUAAGUCCGCUAACGAGCGCAACCCUCGUCGUAUGUUACAAGUGUCAUACGAGACUGCCGGUAAAAGUCGGAGGAAGGUGAGGAUGAUGUCAAGUCAGCAUGACCUUUAUAUCUAGGGCUACACACACGCUACAAUGGUCUGUACAAUGGGUUGCCAAGCCGCGAGGCGGAGCCAAUCCUAAAAAGCAGGCCUCAGUUCAGAUUGCAGUCUGCAACCCGACUGCAUGAAGCCGGAGUUGCUAGUAACCGCAGGUCAGCAAUACUGCGGUGAAUACGUUCCCGGGUCUU